AGACGCUGCCCGCUCCUCCCUUUUACCGGGUGGCGGAGGGGUGAGUUCCGCAAAGCUUGCCCUGGUACAAGCGAGCUGGCGACCGCGGGUGGUGUUGGUGGGCUUUUAGCAUCUGAUCCUAAGCUCCUUGUGUUCAGAGAGACUCUCUUGCCAUACUCUUCAGUCAUUUCCUACUGGAAUGAACAGAGAAACGGAUACCCCAGAGGGUGAUGGUAUUUGGAGGGGCAUUGUGACCUGACCUACCUGGAUGGCUGCAAGAAUAAAGGAUUCUGACACCAAGAAGUUUGCAACAACUAACCAGGUCCCUUGCUCACCUUGCCUUUAAAAGCGCUUUGCUGAAAUGCUUCAAGGAGUUUGGGACUUUGGGGAUAUAAGCCACCUGUUCUCCUUCCAUGGCCCUGCAAUAAACCUUUCUUUGCUCCAAACUCCAAAGUUUUGUUUCGGCCUCAGUGUGCAUCAGGCACAUAAACUUGCAUUUGCUACCAUGGGGACACAUUCACAGAUUCAAGAGAAAAGGGGAGUAGAAGGUAGUUUUUCAAAAGUAAGAAUGACAUGUUGAUGGCAUCAUCUAUGGCUAUACUAUAUUUACAAGCUCUCUUUGUGAAGCAGGCUUACUAUUCAAAGCUAAAUUCAUACUUGUCUGAUAUGCUUAUAAGUGUGUACCAGGUUUAAUUAUUCAUGAAGUCAAUUAAUGGUUUAUCUUUAAUAUAUAAUGUCAUUUUUAAGGAAAUCUCAUUUGUUUUAUAAGUUCAAAUGAAAUAAUUUACAAAAAACUGCCGGUUUAGUAAGGUGUUCCCUCACUAGUACCCUUGGCAUUAAAAAGUAGUUGUCAGGUUGGCUUGCAGUUUGUCUGAAUGUGAAAGUAUAAAAAUGUGCACAUAACAAGCAGUGUAGAAUAUCUGAAACUUUUCAAGGGAUGUACUUUGAUGUAGAACUGUUCAAUAUUACCAAAAACACUGUGGAAAAAAUACUAUCUAGUACAUUCAGCUCAUGGCAUGAAACUUUCCAUGGAAGACCCUUGUUUGGGUCAUUUGCAGAUUUUCACUGUAAUGAUUCAUCACUUCAUCAGCAUAUUAAAAGAAAUUUCC
rnacentral:lncRNA from 1 species